rnacentral:rRNA from 1 species
GAUACCCUGGUAGUCCACGCAGUAAACGAUGAGCACUAAUUGUCCGGUCCGAAUGAGGACUGGGUGAUACAGCGAAAGCGUUAAGUGCUCCACCUGGGGAGUACGCCGGCAACGGUGAAACUCAAAGGAAUUGACGGGGGCCCGCACAAGCGGAGGAACAUGUGGUUUAAUUCGAUGAUACGCGAGGAACCUUACCCGGGCUCAAACGACGGACGGAUGUUUUUGAAAGGAGGCAGCCCUACGGGGCGUCCGUCGAGGUGCUGCAUGGUUGUCGUCAGCUCGUGCCGUGAGGUGUCGGCUUAAGUGCCAUAACGAGCGCAACCCCCAUCGCCAGUUACCAUCAAGUGAAGUUGGGGACUCUGGCGAGACUGCCGGCGCAAGCUGCGAGGAAGGCGGGGAUGACGUCAAAUCAGCACGGCCCUUACGUCCGGGGCGACACACGUGUUACAAUGGCAGGUACAGCGGGAAGCCACCUGGCGACGGGGCGCGGAACCCGAAAACCUGUCUCAGUUCGGAUUGGAGUCUGCAACCCGACUCCAUGAAGCUGGAUUCGCUAGUAAUCGCGCAUCAGCCACGGCGCGGUGAAUACGUUCCCGGGCCUUGUACACACCGCCCGUCAAGCCAUGGAAGCCGGGGGUACCUGAAGUACGUGACCGCAAGGAGCGUCCUAAGGUAAAACCGGUGGCUGGGGCUAAGUCGUAACAAGGUAGC